UACGGAGGGGGCUAGCGUUGUUCGGAAUUACUGGGCGUAAAGCGCACGUAGGCGGCUUGGUAAGUUAGAGGUGAAAGCCUGGAGCUCAACUCCAGAAUUGCCUUUAAGACUGCCGAGCUAGCAGGUGAGAGAGGUGAGUGGAAUUCCCGGUGUAGCGGUGAAAUGCGUAGAGAUCGGGAGGAACAUCAGUGGCGAAGGCGGCCAUCUGGGACAACACUGACGCUGAAGCACGAAAGCGUGGGGAGCAAACAGG
rnacentral:rRNA from 1 species